GGUCCUGUAGCUCAGUGGAUGAGAGCGCUCGGGUGCGAACCGAGAGGUGGCAAGUUCGACUCUUGCCAGGACCA
rfam:Myxococcus stipitatus DSM 14675, complete genome.